rnacentral:misc_RNA from 1 species
GUAGCAUCCGUCGAUGACAGUUGCACGACGAGCCACUCCCGCCCCCGCGAACGAAGGGCAAAGACCGACCCGAAGGCAAGCGUCAUUCAAGGCAACUGAAAUUCGAGGGACACAAUGGGGCAUCGACCCACGUUCACCGCAUGGACUGCAUCCGAGAGAACGGUAUAUGCCCGUGUACCACAGAAGUCAUGACAAUGCAUAACUAAUGAGGAGCACGUGCAUCACCCUGAAAUCCUCCGGAGCCCCGCAAAGGAAGCCCGGAUGGAAGGAUAAUUACAAGCCACACGAAUACCAUUUUACAGGUAGGCAACACAGGAACCGUGAAUGAACACCAGAGCC